CCAGCACCCGCGGUAAUUCCAGCUCCAACAGCGUAUAUUUAAGUUGCUGCAGUUAAAAAGCUCGUAGUUGAAGUUGGGGUGAGUUGGGGCGGAAGGGGUUUAGCAUCGCUAGUCUUUCCUCCCCUCGCCUUCUCUGGGGGUUUUUUCGAAGAUCCUCGUGGUUACUUUGAGUAAAUUAGAGUGUUCAAAGCAAACGUUUUGUUUUUGAAUAUGUUAGCAUGGAAUAACAGUAUAGGAUGAAGGAUAGUUUGUUGGCCUACUAUAUCUUCGUAAUGAUGAAGAGGAACAGGUUCGGGGACGUACGUAUUUGCGGGUUAGAGGUGAAAUUCUUGGAUCCCGCAAAGACGAACCUCUGCGAAGGCAUUCGUCAAGGAUGUUUUCAUUAAUCAAGAACGAAAGU
rnacentral:rRNA from 1 species